GAGUUUGAUCAUGGCUCAGGAUGAACGCUAGCGGCAGGCCUAACACAUGCAAGUCGAGGGGUAACAGAGAAGCUUGCUUCUGCUGACGACCGGCGCACGGGUGCGUAACGCGUAUGCAACCUACCUCAUACUGGAGAAUAGCCCUUGGAAACGAGGAUUAAUACUCCAUAGUAUCAUUCUUUCGCAUGUUAGAAUGAUUAAAGAAUUUCGGUAUGAGAUGGGCAUGCGUCCCAUUAGCUAGUUGGUGAGGUAACGGCUCACCAAGGCGACGAUGGGUAGGGGGCCUGAGAGGGUGGUCCCCCACACUGGUACUGAGACACGGACCAGACUCCUACGGGAGGCAGCAGUGAGGAAUAUUGGUCAAUGGAGGCAACUCUGAACCAGCCAUGCCGCGUGAAGGAUGACGGCCCUAUGGGUUGUAAACUUCUUUUAUAUGGGAAGAAACUUAUCUACGUGUAGAUAACUGACGGUACCAUACGAAUAAGGAUCGGCUAACUCCGUGCCAGCAGCCGCGGUAAUACGGAGGAUCCAAGCGUUAUCCGGAUUCAUUGGGUUUAAAGGGUCCGUAGGCGGAUUUUUAAGUCAGUGGUGAAAGCCGGCAGCUUAACUGUCGAACUG
rnacentral:rRNA from 1 species